rnacentral:rRNA from 1 species
GACGAACGCUGGCGGCGUGCCUAAUACAUGCAAGUCGAACGCUGAAGGAGGAGCUUGCUUCUCUGGAUGAGUUGCGAACGGGUGAGUAACGCGUAGGUAACCUGCCUGGUAGCGGGGGAUAACUAUUGGAAACGAUAGCUAAUACCGCAUAAUAGUAGAUGUUGCAUGACAUUUGCCUAAAAGGUGCAAUUGCAUCACUACCAGAUGGACCUGCGUUGUAUUAGCUAGUUGGUGGGGUAACGGCUCACCAAGGCGACGAUACAUAGCCGACCUGAGAGGGUGAUCGGCCACACUGGGACUGAGACACGGCCCAGACUCCUACGGGAGGCAGCAGUAGGGAAUCUUCGGCAAUGGACGGAAGUCUGACCGAGCAACGCCGCGGGAGUGAAGAAGGUUUUCGGAUCGUAAAGCUCUGUUGUAAGAGAAGAACGAGUGUGAGAGUGGAAAGUUCACACUGUGACGGUAGCUUACCAGAAAGGGACGGCUAACUACGUG